rnacentral:lncRNA from 10 species
AGAUAACUGACCCUCUAUGGCCCCUAAGUGAAGAAUUUUGGCUCUGUGGGUUAGAUGAGUCUGUCCAACAGAAGUAACUUCUUUUCUGAGUGGUAAUCUCAACUCCCUGCCUUGGUGAAAGGACUGGGGACUAGAUGGGGGAGGUGUCUAUGGAGCAGAAACUGUUGACAUGGAGUUUCUUCCCACCUUACUCCACAGCUGAUUCUGGGAUCUGGAAUGAAGGAGGCCCUUUGCAUCGAGCAGUUGAAGAAGGGAGAUGGGAUUGGUAAAUCAGAGGUCACCCAAAUAGGGCAGGAGGCCCAGCACAAAUAUUGAUGGCUAGGAGAUGGAGGUUGCAAACUGGAAAGUUGGAGAAAGGGAAUGUGGAUCAAGAUAAUGACUCCAAAUCCAGAAGCAACCCAGAGAAUACAGGAAGAAGUGUUCAGUGUCUGCGUACAAGAGGAUGGCCAGUGCUUUGCUUACUUGAGGUCUGGGCCUAUGUAUAGGACCGGUUUAUUCUGAUAGCCGCUGCUCUGAGACCCUUGAUUUAGAAUCUACCAGGCAUCUUCACUGCUGGGUCAGAGGAUG